rnacentral:lncRNA from 1 species
GGAGCGGCAAGAGUACCCAGAAAGUGCCCUCUCCGCGGGGGUCUGCGGCCAAGGAGGAUCCUGCUCGUGGAAUAGCUACCAAAUCGGCCUCCAGCCCACCCCAGGGGCGGGGUAGAGAAAGGGCAAACUGUGACCGGGACUUGUGCACCCGAUUAAUUGAAUAUUAAUCACCCCAAGGCCUAGGCCAACCGCCACCCAGAGAGUGGCAGCUGCAGAACCCAAAGACGUGGAGCCGGGCUGGGGGUGGGGAAGGGAGGCCGCCACAGCUCCCGCCCCGCCGGCAGUUUAACUGCUUCCGCAGCCUCAGGCCUCCCGGUGCGACCCCGGCUGCGACUCGGAUCCGUUUAUUCCAAAUGUCCCAGCCCACGCCGUGCCCAGAGUGUGGCGACACGAGGCCAAACUGCGUAGCAACGACGCCUGAUUGGCUGCGCUGGUCCCUUCGCAACGAGGCGAUUGGCUGCCUGGUAUCCAGGAGACCGACGUCAAACUCGGACUGGGAAAAGGGGAAAGUCGAGGAGUAGGGUGUCUACGGGGCGGGCCCGUGUAGACCAGCUGUGCUCCUCGGGCACAAACCCGCCGUACAUGCCAGGCCUAGAAGCUUUUGGCUUUGUGGACGCAAAAUCUGGUUGGAGCCGCCUUCUCCACCCUGACUCUCCCGCCUCUCCUUUUUAGAAGGAACCGCACUGAGAAAGGGUAUUUCUGAAGGCUCAAUGCGUAGGAGAAGGGGUGGGAAGAUGGGUUUGUGGAAUGGGCUGAGGGUGGGGAGUGGUCAGGUGACUGAUUUCAUGUUUAUUGUACAGAUUCCUAAAACAUAGUUUUACUAAGUGACUCCUUAAAUUCUGAUUAAUGUGAUUUUUUUUUUUUUUUGAGUGUUUGGGUUUUUUAGUUGCAAACAGGAGUGGAAUUGAAAUGUGAAAGUAUGGCAAAACUGUGAAAGCAUUUAAAUUAAAAUGUCCCUUCCUCUGCAUUGAAAUGUC